rnacentral:rRNA from 1 species
GACGAACGCUGGCGGCGUGCUUAACACAUGCAAGUCGAACGGAAAGGCCCUGCUUUUGUGGGGUGCUCGAGUGGCGAACGGGUGAGUAACACGUGAGUAUCCUGCCCUUGACGUUGGGAUAACUUCAGGAAACUGGGGCUAAUACCGGAUAGGAGCUCCUGCUGCAUGGGGGGGGUUGGAAAGUUUCGGCGGUUGGGGAUGUACUCGCGGGUUAUCAGCUUGUUGGGGGGGUGGUGGCUUACCAAGGCUUUGACAGGUAGCCGGCCUGAGAGGGUGACCGGCGACCUUGGGACUGAGGGACGGCCCAGACUCGUACUGUAGGCAGCAGGGGGGAAUCUUGCACAAUGGGCGGAAGCCGGAUGCAGCAGCGCCGCGUGCGGGAUGACGGCCUUCGGGUUGUAAACCGCUUUCGCCUGUGACGAAGCGUGAGUGACGGUAAUGAGUAAAGAAGCACCGGCUAACUACGUG